rnacentral:rRNA from 1 species
AAACUGAAGAGUUUGAUCAUGGCUCAGAUUGAACGCUGGCGGCAGGCCUAACACAUGCAAGUCGAGCGGUAACAGAUCCAGCUUGCUGGAUGCUGACGAGCGGCGGACG